UACAGAGGGUGCAAGCGUUGUUCGGAAUUAUUGGGCGUAAAGCGCGUGUAGGCGGUGAUGCAUGUCGGGUGUGAAAGCCCUCAGCUUAACUGAGGAAGUGCGCCCGAAACUGCAUCGCUGGAGUGUCGGAGAGGAAGGCGGAAUUCCCGGUGUAGAGGUGAAAUUCGUAGAUAUCGGGAGGAACACCAGUGGCGAAGGCGGCCUUCUGGACGAACACUGACGCUGAGACGCGAAAGCGUGGGGAGCGAACAGG
rnacentral:rRNA from 1 species